GGAAUCUUGGACAAUGGGGGAAACCCUGAUCCAGCAAUGCCGCGUGUGUGAAGAAGGCCUUAGGGUUGUAAAGCACUUUCAGCAGGGAAGAAAAGCUCGGGGCUAAUAUCCCCGGGCCUUGACGGUACCUGCAGAAGAAGCACCGGCUCACUCCGUUCCAGCAGCCGCGGUAAUACGGAGGGUGCAAGCGUUAAUCGGAAUUACUGGGCGUAAAGCGCGCGUAGGUGGUUUGGUAAGUCGGGUGUGAAAGCCCCGGGCUCAACCUGGGAAUUGCAUUCGAUACUGCCAGACUAGAGUAUGGUAGAGGGAAGUGGAAUUCCGCAUGUAGCGGUGAAAUGCAUAGAGAUGCGGAGGAACACCAGUGGCGAAGGCGACUUCCUGGACCAAUACUGACACUGAGGUGCGAAAGCGUGGGGAGC
rnacentral:rRNA from 1 species